AUUGAACGCUGGCGGCAGGCCUAACACAUGCAAGUCGAACGAGUGGCGGACGGGUGAGUAAUGUCUGGGAAACUGCCUGAUGGAGGGGGAUAACUACUGGAAACGGUAGCUAAUACCGCAUACCAUCGGAUGUGCCCAAAUGGGAUUAGCUAGUCGGUGGGGUAACGGCUCACCUAGGCGACGAUCCCUAGCUGGUCUGAGAGGAUGACCAGCCGCACUGGAGUUGAGGCACGGCACAGAGUCCUCCGGGAGGCAGCAGUGGGGAAUAUUGCGCAAUGGGCGCAAGUCUGAUGCCGCCAUGCCUCGUGUAUGAAGGAGGCCUUGGGGUUGUAAAGUACUUUCAGCGAGGAGGCGUUACCCGCAGAAGAAGCCCCGGCUAACUCCGUGCCAGCAGCCGCGGUAAUUC
rnacentral:rRNA from 1 species